GACAGAGGGUGCAAACGUUGUUCGGAAUUACUGGGCGUAAAGCGAGUGUAGGCGGUGUGGUAAGUCGGAUGUGAAAGCCCCGGGCUCAACCCGGGAAGUGCAUUCGAUACUACCACGCUAGAGUAUCGGAGAGGUUGGUGGAAUUCUCGGUGUAGAGGUGAAAUUCGUAGAUAUCGAGAGGAACACCGGUGGCGAAGGCGGCCAACUGGACGAAUACUGACGCUGAGACUCGAAAGCGUGGGGAGCAAACAGG
rnacentral:rRNA from 1 species